rnacentral:rRNA from 1 species
ACCCGCUGAAUUUAAGCAUAUAAGUAGGCGGUGGAAAAUGAACCAAAUGGGAUUCCUUAAGUAAUUGCGAAUGAACAAGGAACUGCUCAGCUUGAAAAUUGGGGCCUUCGGCCUUGAAUUGUAAUUUUGAAAUGUAUUGCCAAUGGAGGCGCAGGUGCAAGCCUAUUGAAAGAAAGCGUCAAUGAGGGUGAGAUUCCUUUUUGUCAUUUGCAGUCCUCCGUGCACGGUAUAUAUUUGACGAGUCACACUCCUCGGCAUUGGAAUGCAAAGUGGGUGGUAAAUUCCAUGUAAAGGAAAAUAUAUUAUUGAGACUGAUAGCAAACAAGUACCAUGAGGGAAAUAUGAAAAGGACUUUGAAAAGAGAAUUAAAAGAGUCUGCACUUGCUGAACAGAAAGCAAACAGAAUUGAUCUACUUGGUGAGAUUGUUGCGUCCACUUGUGGGCGCAAUGGUUCUUGCCUUGAAUGUCAGCGUCUAUUUCUGCAAAUCAUUACCCUUGCACAUGAAUGGUAAUUUGCCUGUGGGUAUUGGAAUGCAUGUGUUUGCAAUGAUUUGUGAUUUGAUACAUGUGUCUGGUGUUCUUGUGUGUGCCCUCCUUGCCAAGAGGGGAGGGCUCUCUCUCCCUGGGCACUGCAAGCCCUUGCACAUUGUUGCUGGCAAAAUGUUUCUGCUUGACCCGUCUUGAAACACGGACCAAGGAGUCUAACAGAUGUGCAAGUUCGUGGGUGGGCAAACCUUUUUGCGCAAUGAAAGUAUUGGCUGGGAUACUUGCACCAGCAGCCGACCGAUUAGCAGACAGAGGUUUGAGUUUGAGCAUAUCUAUUAGGACCCGAAAGAUGGUGAACUAUGCCUGAACAGAACGAAUUCAGAGGAAACUCUGAUGGAGGUUCGUAUCGAUACUGACGUGCAAAUCGUUCGUCAUACUUGGGUAUAGGGGCGAAAGACUAAUCGAACCAUCUAGUAGCUGGUUCCCUCCGAAGUUUCCCUCAGGAUAGCUGGAGUUGCACAGUUUUAUCAGGUAAAGCGAAUGAUUAGAGGAAUUGGGGACACGCUGUCCUUGACCUAUUCUCAAACUUUAAAUGGGUAAGAUGCAAUGGUUGCUUUAUUGAACUUUUGGAAUAAAUGGCAAUAUCAGGUGGGCCAUUUUUGGUAAGCAGAACUGGUGAUGAGGGAUGAACCUAACGUUGGGUUAAGGUGCUUAAUUGCUUGCUCAUUAGAUACCAGAAAGGGUGUUGGUUCAUUUUAACAGCAGGACGGUGGUCAUGGAAGUCGAAAUCCGCUAAGGAGUGUGUAACAACUCACCUGCCGAAUGGACUAGCCCCGAAAAUGGAUGGCGCUCAAGCGGGUGACCGAUACCCAACCAUUGUUGCAAAAAAUAUCAGUGUGUAGGAGGGCAUGGCGGUUUGUGAUGCAGCCUUUGGUGAAAACCUGGGUGAAACAGCUCCUAGUGCAGAUCUUGGUGGUAGUAGC